GACGAACGCUGGCGGCGUGCUUAACACAUGUAAGUCGAACGAUGAACCGGAGCUUGCUCUGGGGAUUAGUGGCGAACGGGUGAGUAACACGUGGGCAACCUGCCCCAGACACCGGGAUAACCAUUCGAAAUGAUGGCUAAUACCGGAUACGGCCACUUCGGGCAUCCGAUGGUGGUGGAAAGGAUUCUGGUCUGGGAUGGGCCCGCGGCCUAUCAGCUUGUUGGUGGGGUAAUGGCCUACCAAGGCGACGACGGGUAGCCGGCCUGAGAGGGCGACCGGCCACACUGGGACUGAGACACUGCCCAGACUCCUACGGGAGGCAGCAGUGGGGAAUAUUGCGCAAUGGGCGAAAGCCUGACGCAGCGACGCCGCGUGAGGGACGAAGGUCUUCGGAUUGUAAACCUCUUUCAGCAGGGAUGAAGCGAAAGUGACAGUACCUGCAGAAGAAGCACCGGCUAACUACGUGCCAGCCGCCGCAGUAAUAC
rnacentral:rRNA from 1 species